CGAACGCUGGCGGCGUGCCUAAUACAUGCAAGUCGAGCGGACCGAACGAGGGCUUGCUCUUGUUUGGUCAGCGGCGGACGGGUGAGUAACACGUGGGCAACCUGCCCGCAAGACCGGGAUAACUCCGGGAAACCGGAGCUAAUACCGGAUAACACCGAAGACCGCAUGGUCUUCGGUUGAAAGGCGGCCUUUGGGCUGUCACUUGCGGAUGGGCCCGCGGCGCAUUAGCUAGUUGGUGAGGUAACGGCUCACCAAGGCGACGAUGCGUAGCCGGCCUGAGAGGGUGACCGGCCACACUGGGACUGAGACACGGCCCAGACUCCUACGGGAGGCAGCAGUAGGGAAUCUUCCGCAAUGGGCGAAAGCCUGACGGAGCGACGCCGCGUGAGCGAAGAAGGCCUUCGGGUCGUAAAGCUCUGUUGUGAGGGACGAAGGAGCGCCGUUCGAAGAGGGCGGCGCGGUGACGGUACCUCACGAGGAAGCCCCGGCUAACUACGUGCCAGCAGCCGCGGUAAUACGUAGGGGGCGAGCGUUGUCCGGAAUUAUUGGGCGUAAAGCGCGCGCAGGCGGUUCCUUAAGUCUGAUGUGAGAGCCCACGGCUCAACCGUGGAGGGUCAUUGGAAACUGGGGGACUUGAGUGCAGGAGAGGAGAGCGGAAUUCCACGUGUAGCGGUGAAAUGCGUACAGAUGUGGAGGAA
rnacentral:rRNA from 1 species